GCUGGGGAUCAGCAGACGAUAUGGUCACAGGAAGCUCCUCACAUCACUUUACCGUUUCCUAUAGCUGUGUCUAGCUUGCUUGUCGUAGCCCCUUGGUUUAAUGCUCCAUAACUGUCCUUGAUG